rnacentral:rRNA from 1 species
UACAGAGGGGGCAAGCGUUGUUCGGAAUUACUGGGCGUAAAGGGCGCGUAGGCGGCCUUCUAAGUCAGACGUGAAAUCCCCCGGCUUAACCUGGGAACUGCGUCUGAUACUGGGAGGCUAGAGUGCGGGAGAGGGAUGCGGAAUUCCAGGUGUAGCGGUGAAAUGCGUAGAUAUCUGGAGGAACACCGGUGGCGAAGGCGGCAUCCUGGACCGACACUGACGCUGAGGCGCGAAAGCUAGGGUAGCAAACGGG